GAACGCUGGCGGCAGGCCUAACACAUGCAAGUCGAACGGUAACAGGAAGCAGCUUGCUGCUUGCUGACGAGUGGCGGACGGGUGAGUAAUGUCUGGGAAACUGCCCGAUGGAGGGGGGAUAACUACUGGAAACGGUAGCUAAUACCGCAUAAUGUCGCAAGACCAAAGAGGGGGACCUUCGGGCCUCUUGCCAUCGGAUGUGCCCAGAUGGGAUUAGCUAGUUGGUGAGGUAACGGCUCACCAAGGCGACGAUCCCUAGCUGGUCUGAGAGGAUGACCAGCCACACUGGAACUGAGACACGGUCCAGACUCCUACGGGAGGCAGCAGUGGGGAAUAUUGCACAAUGGGCGCAAGCCUGAUGCAGCCAUGCCCGCGUGUAUGAAGAAGGCCUUCGGGUUGUAAAGUACUUUCAGCGGGGAGGAAGGGGUUAAGGUUAAUAACCUUAGCCAUUGACGUUACCCGCAGAAGAAGCACCGGCUAACUCCGUGCCAGCAGCCGC
rnacentral:rRNA from 1 species